rnacentral:rRNA from 1 species
AUUGAACGCUGGCGGCAUGCCUAACACAUGCAAGUCGAACGGCAGCGCGAAUGGGGUAACCCAUUUGGCGGCGAGUGGCGGACGGGUGAGUAAAAUAUAGGAAUCUACCUUGAGGUGGGGAUAACUUGGGGAAACUCAAGCUAAUACCACAUGAGACCUACGGGUGAAAGCAGGGGAUCGUAAGACCUUGCGCCUUAAGAUGAGCCUAUAACGGAUUAGCUUGUUGGGGGGGUAAUGGCCCACCAAGGCGACGAUCUGUAGCUGGUCUGAGAGGAUGACCAGCCACACUGGGACUGAGACACGGCCCAGACUCCUACGGGAGGCAGCAGUGGGGAAUAUUGGACAAUGGGCGAAAGCCUGAUCCAGCAAUGCCGCGUGUGUGAAGAAGGCCUCGG